GCUCAGGACGAACGCUGGCGGCGUGCUUAACACAUGCAAGUCGAACGAGAAUCUGCUGAAGGAGGAUUCGUCCAACGGAAGCAGAGGAAAGUGGCGGACGGGUGAGUAACGCGUGAGGAACCUGCCUUGAAGAGGGGGACAACAGUUGGAAACGACUGCUAAUACCGCAUGACGCAUAGAGGUCGCAUGAUCUUUAUGCCAAAGAUUUAUCGCUUCAAGAUGGCCUCGCGUCUGAUUAGCUGGUUGGCGGGGUAACGGCCCACCAAGGCGACGAUCAGUAGCCGGACUGAGAGGUUGAACGGCCACAUUGGGACUGAGAUACGGCCCAGACUCCUACGGGAGGCAGCAGUA
rnacentral:rRNA from 1 species